CAACGGCUUCUUGUGUUCAAGUGAGCAGCGAAACUGGUCCCCUCUUGCUCUUUGAGCUGAGGUUGCCAGAAGAACAAGAAAUGAAAUUUAAGUUGGUUUGGGGUGUGCUGCUCAUCAGACAUAGAAAACAGAAUUCUGGUGUCUCACAGAGGCCUUUCAAAAUGCACCUCAAGGAACAAAGCAUAUGCCACCUUCCUCGGCAGAUCCCAGAGCCAACAUCAACCAGAAAGAGGGCUCGCAUACGGAGAACACUUGUGAUGGAGUGCCAACUUUUCGUGCCGCUUUGCAUAGCCAGCUUACAUUUAGGGCUCCUAUUAACUUGAAAGAGAGUUCCAGGUGCAUUCAAGUUCUGCUGAAGAAAUGGAAAUUUGGAAGCUUUAUUAUUAGCUUAGGCCAUUUUCAACUCACGUGCUACCAUCCUCAAACCACUAACAUUUCAAAUGCUAUCUCUACUCUAAAGCCUACUCUGAGCCCAUCGUGAUCACCCACUAACUGAAGGGGGACAACAGUUUUGGCCAUGGAGAAGGAGAAAGAACUUUAGCAGGCACUGAAUUUUUACUUGGUGCUAGGUUCAAGACAAGAAGGAACAGGACUGCAGAAGGUGACUGUAUUUCAAAACUCCUAAUUGCUCUAAGGAAAGCAUCUGUAGACUGAGGUAUUAACACACCUAACUGCUGGUAAGAUGCAUUUAUCACCCAAGAUGAUCAACCAAGAUGCAAGCAAUGACUCUUCUAAUCUUUGAGUAUGUAUCGAGCAUCUGUUUGGGGCCAGGCAUUACACUCAUCUCUCUGAAAAGCAGUGAACCAAACAGAUAAAGUCACUCCUGCCAUCAGACUUGGACUAGUGUGGAGAAGACAGACGGCAUACUAAUCAAACACAUAAAAAUAUUGGAGUCGAAUCACGCUGAUGGAUCGAGCUAAAGCUUUUGACAUCCAACUAACUGGGUCCUGUUGGAGAUUGAACAACUGAUCUUGGGAUACCAAGUAACCAGGCAAUCUGAGUUGACUAACCCCACGUGGAGAGCGUAACUCAUUCUUACAGGACAAUACCCCUGGCGUCAUCUUCAGAGCUUUAGAAGCUUCACUUGUGGAUCAAACUUCCUCAUCCUCACGAAUCAGAACUUAGAAUAUCUUCAAGAAUAUGUGUCUCUUUCCUGAUGUCUCCAAAUAUCAGCAACCCUUGAAGAGUGGCAGAGACUCUCCUAGAUCCUCCUGCUCCUGGCAAGGCUGAGUCCUAAGCUUGUCACCAGGAAGAGAAGACCUUCAUACCUUAGUCUCCAGAGAUUUCAACCCAUUCCCCUACUUCAUGCAAACUGGUCUAUCUUUGUAGCCCUGGAGCGUGUAAGAGGUGAAAAGAAACUUAAAUCAGUAAAGAGAGUUAUGCGUCUCUGAGAUAUCAGUGUGGUGCUUGCAGAGUGAUAGUUCCUGUGGGCUUCCUGUUGAGUGUUGGCAAAUUAAAACGGUCACUGUGAUAACACAGAAUGGAAAAGAAGACUCGCUUUCCAUUUUCAAGCAUGAAAUUAGAACAAGCCUUGGAAAGGACUGCUUUCAUCCUGUCAGCAAUGAACUGGAGAAUCUUCAGUGACUCUCCACCGCCUUAGGACAAAAUCCCAUCACCUUAAUGCACCUUUUGAAGUCUUCACGGCCCUGGCCUAUAUUUAUAACUAUAUCUUCUGAUCAAUUCCUUGAAACCUGAUUUGUACUGGACCAUUUAUUCCAACGCUGAAAUCUUCCUAGCAC